rnacentral:rRNA from 1 species
CCUACGGGAGGCAGCAGUGAGGAAUAUUGGUCAAUGGGCUCGAGCCUGAACCAGCCAAGUCGCGUGAGGGAAGACGGUCCUAUGGAUUGUAAACCUCUUUUGUCGGGGAGCAAAAGACGCCACGCGUGGCGUUCCGAGAGUACCCGAAGAAAAAGCAUCGGCUAACUCCGUGCCAGCAGCCGCGGUAAUACGGAGGAUGCGAGCGUUAUCCGGAUGUAUUGGGUGUAAAGGGUGCGCAGGCGGAAGAUCAAGUCAGCGGUAAAAUUGAGAGGCUCAACCUCUUCGAGCCGUUGAAACUGGUUUUCUUGAGUGAGCGAGAAGUAUGCGGAAUGCGUGGUGUAGCGGUGAAAUGCAUAGAUAUCACGCAGAACUCCGAUUGCGAAGGCAGCAUACCGGCGCUCAACUGACGCUCAUGCACGAAAGUGUGGGUAUCGAACAGGAUUAGAUACCCCUGUAGUC